CAGUAGCUGAGUGGAUAUCGCGAUGGCGUUUGAAGCGAAAGGUACUGGGUUCGAGUCCCAGAGUGAA
rnacentral:tRNA from 1 species